UACGAAGGGUGCAAGCGUUGUUCGGAAUUAUUGGGCGUAAAGCGCACGUAGGCGGCCGAGUAAGUCUCACUGUGAAAGUCCGGGGCUCAACCUCGGGAUUGCAGGGGAUACUGCACGGCUCGAGACAAGUAGAGGUUGGUAGAAUUCCGGGUGUAGCGGUGGAAUGCGUAGAGAUCCGGAGGAAUACCAGAGGCGAAGGCGGCCAACUGGGCUUGUUCUGACGCUGAGGUGCGAAAGCGUGGGGAGCGAACAGG
rnacentral:rRNA from 1 species